rnacentral:rRNA from 1 species
ACAGAAAAGGAGCUUGCUCCUUUGACGUUAGCGGCGGACGGGUGAGUAACACGUGGGCAACCUACCCUAUAGUUUGGGAUAACUCCGGGAAACCGGGGCUAAUACCGAAUAAUCUCUUUUNCUUCAUGGNGAAAGACUGAAAGACGGUUUCGGCUGUCGCUAUAGGAUGGGCCCGCGGCGCAUUAGCUAGUUGGUGAGGUAACGGCUCACCAAGGCGACGAUGCGUAGCCGACCUGAGAGGGUGAUCGGCCACACUG